UAACACACAUAUUUUCCCAAAAACAUAACAUUUCGCUAAAAUGAGUGAGACGAUUCCGACACCGAAUCGCACAAUACGCCGCCUUCAAUCCUCCUCCGCUGUUCAAUCUCAUCCGCCACCGUUUAUUCUCCUCCGCCGCUGUUUAAUUUGGAAGCACAAUCCGUCAAUCUAUCGGUUGUUCUCCUUCAAACCCUACUCCGUCGAAGAACCACAACCCCUCCGCCGUUCUCUGUCGUUCUUUGCAUUUCCAAGGAAGGAACCAACUACACACUCCUCCAUAAAUAUGUUUUUGUCAUGGAAGCAAGCUUAUGAAAGAUUGUGAUUGCUUUCAAGUUUCAAUUCAGGUGUUUGCUAACAGGGGUCAUAUGGUUUUUGAUCCAGUCAUUGACUAAUAGCAUCUCUUCAACAAGGAUUUUUAAACCUUGUUGAAGGAGAAAGACAAAUUCAAACCUGGAUCUAAGGUAGAAGAAAAUUAAGGGUUGUUUAAGAACAAGUGGAGUAGCAGCAAAAGCUGUGUUUCUGUUACUAAACAACUCGUCUAGUGAGAAGCAUCAUCGCCUAGCGAGGACAGCAGCGUGCUCUGCCUCUGUGUGUUGUUCUCUCCCCUAUCCAACAAUUCUUGAUCAUAGGUAAGCAAACUCAAGCUCUUUUCCUUCUCUCCAGGAUUAUUCUAUUCUUUUGGUGUUAGAAAUAUCACUAAUCUCAUUCUUGGUAAUUGUAUGUGGCUUGUUUGGAGAAAGAGGCUGUGAUUAAAGUAUUUGGAGCUGGGAAUUGAAUGAAAAUGGAAGGACAUGGCCAUUUGGAGAAAGCUUCACAUUGAGUAGGGUAUUGUGCUCCCCCCCCCCCCCAAAAAAAAAAAAAGACUGCAGCUAUUUAGGAGCGAGGCCGGGUUUCUCUCUUAUUUGACGUUGUACGUUGUUUAGCUUAAGUUUUGGUAAGUUGCUAUAUAGGAGCUCUUAGGUCUUGCGAACUGUCUUGAUUUUGAUGACAAUAUUAGUGAUGCAAUUUAGGAAAGGGAUGUAUAGUAUGGUGCUAUUGUACAUAUGUGAUUUGAAUUUAAUAAGUAUUAGGCUUUGGCAUUUUAGUGUGGUGAACUAUCUUGAUUUAGGAAGGGAUCUAGGUAUGUGUGAAGUUAUUGUUGUAUGGUGAAUUGUUUUGAUAUUAAUUUUGGAUGUUGAGUGGUACA